UACGGGAGGCAGCAGUGGGGAAUAUUGCACAAUGGGCGGAAGCCUGAUGCAGCGACGCCGCGUGGGGGAUGACGGCCUUCGGGUUGUAAACUCCUUUCGACAGGGACGAAGCUUUUUGUGACGGUACCUGUAUAAGAAGCACCGGCUAACUACGUGCCAGCAGCCGCGGUAAUACGUAGGGUGCGAGCGUUGUCCGGAAUUACUGGGCGUAAAGAGCUCGUAGGUGGUUUGUCGCGUCGUCUGUGAAAUUCCGGGGCUUAACUCCGGGCGUGCAGGCGAUACGGGCAUAACUUGAGUGCUGUAGGGGAGACUGGAAUUCCUGGUGUAGCGGUGAAAUGCGCAGAUAUCAGGAGGAACACCGAUGGCGAAGGCAGGUCUCUGGGCAGUUACUGACGCUGAGGAGCGAAAGCAUGGGUAGCGAACAGGAUUAGAUACC
rnacentral:rRNA from 1 species